AUGCACGCUGGCGGCGUGCCUAAUACAUGCAAGUCGAACGCUGGAGAUCUAGCUUGCUAGAUCGAAGGAGUGGCGAACGGGUGAGUAAUACAUAAGCAACCUACCCACGAAGACUGGGAUAAUCUCUGGAAACGGGGACUAAUACCGGAUAGGUAAUCGGAAGGCAUCUUCUGGUUAUUAAAGGUUAAAAACACUGGUGGAUGGGCUUAUGGCGCAUUAGUUAGUUGGUGAGGUAACGGCCCACCAAGACGAUGAUGCGUAGCCGGCCUGAGAGGGUGAACGGCCACAUUGGGACUGAGACACGGCCCAGACUCCUACGGGAGGCAGCAGUAGGGAAUUUUCGGCAAUGGGGGCAACCCUGACCGAGCAACGCCGCGUGAGUGAAGACGGCCUUCGGGUUGUAAAGCUCUGUUGUAAGGGAAGAACGGUAGAUAGAGAAUAUCUAAGUGACGGUACCUUACCAGAAAGCCACGGCUAACUACGUG
rnacentral:rRNA from 1 species